GCUGGGCGUGGUGGUGCACGCCUGUAAUCCCAGCUACUCAGGAGGCUGAGGCAGGAGAAUCGCUUGAACCCAGGAGGUGGAGGUUGCAGUGAGCUGAGAUCACACCACUGCACUCCAGCCUGAGUGACAGAGCGAGACUCUGUCUCAG
ensembl:misc_RNA Metazoa_SRP Metazoan signal recognition particle RNA